UACAGCCACAUCACGUAGAAACACUGGUUCCCAAACGAUCACAGAAGUUAAGCAACACCGAGCAUGAUCAGUACCUAGAUGGGUGACUGCUGGGGAAUACCAUAUGGUGUAA